GCCUUUCGGAUGAGAAGUGAAACGUCUUCAAGAAUCUUCAUUCAAGUCCAGUUGCUCUCUUUUACCACCCACAGUUUACUAUGACCUGGAUGACUGAGAAUCUUCAGACAUCUCUAUUCCAAGGCAAUGUGGUUGCAGUUUCACUUUAAAAGCGAUUGAAGGUACAAAAUUGGACUUUAAGGACCAAAUGUUGUGCCUGUAAGCUUUAUGGACGUCAACAUGCACCUUUCCAGCUCCAUACUCCCAUGUUGCCUCUUAUUGCCUCCAUCUUCCAUCAAGUCUCAGCCAGGUCAGGCGAAAAUGAAUGAGGAGGUCUGGGUGGAGAAGGGUAUGUGGGGGAAACAGCGAGCACAGGCUUUACAAUAUCAGGACUCCGGUGGAGAAUUUACAGUGACAGAUUUCGACGGCAUUGACAAAAUGCUCUCGGCCUCCUCGUAAAGCUGUGACAUAUUAAAAAAAAAAAAAAAAGAGAGAGAAUGAAAAAAAAAGUUUCCACAGCAUAGUGUGUGACUAAGAAACAAUUCAACUGUAUUUGUGAAGCUAAAAGUCUGAGGAACAUUACCGGAAUAAACUGAACGUCCUGGAACAGCUCCUGAAUAAAGCGUCGAGAGACGAGUCUGAACAUGCAGUGGGCCAGCAAGUGAGAAACUUCAGAGUAUAAACAGAUGUCGUCAAAUGCAUAUGGAAACUUUUCCUUGAUCCUGCAGAUGUAUUUGGUUGAAACAAAGGAUUAAACCCAAAUUUUAGUCAUAGGCAACAUUUUCAGCUUAGUGAAAAUUUCAUCAGGCAAGACUGAAUAAACAAAAUCCCACAACUGCCUCGGUCACACCAUUCAUAUACUACCGUUCAAAAGUUUGGGGUCACCCAGACAAUUUUGUGUUUUCCAUGAAAAGUCACACUUUUAUUUACCACCAUAAGUUGUAAAAUGAAUAGAAAAUAUAGUCAAGACAUUUUUCUGGCCAUUUUGAGCAUUUAAUCGACCCCACAAAUGUGAUGCUCCAGAAACUCAAUCUGCUCAAAGGAAGGUCAGUUUUAUAGCUUCUCUAAAGAGCUCAACUGUUUUCAGCUGUGCUAACAUGAUUGUACAAGGGUUUUCUAAUCAUCCAUUAGCCUUCUGAGGCAAUGAGCAAACACAUUGUACCAUUAGAACACUGGAGUGAGAGUUGCUGGAAAUGGGCCUCUAUACACCUAUGGAGAUAUUGCACCAAAAACCAGACAUUUGCAGCUAGAAUAGUCAUUUACCACAUUAGCAAUGUAUAGAGUGGAUUUCUGAUUAGUUUAAAGUGAUCUUCAUUGAAAAGAACAGUGCUUUUCUUUCAAAAAUAAGGACAUUUCAGUGUGACCCCAAACUUUUGAACGGUAGUGUACGUGAUGCAUGCGUUUUUAAAUACACUUUUUUUGUCCCAAACAUUUAUGAUCUCAUUACUGAGUCAGUAAACACAAACAUUUUCAAUUUUCAAACAUGACUUUUCAAACGAAAUAUUUAAUUCCAGAGAAAAAUGUCUGUAGAAACAUGUUACGUAGUCCACCACUUUUCAGACAAACAAAAAGGAAUGCUGCCUGUCAGGUUUCACUUGCUGAAGCAGGUAAAAGGUGAAUUUCCUUUCUAACACACUGAACAAAAUGUACCCAAGAUGACGAUGUAUUUUUAAAAAGAAAAACAAUAAAUAAAUGUUCUAACACCAAA